rnacentral:rRNA from 1 species
GACGAACGCUGGCGGCGUGCUUAACAUAUGCGAGUCGAACGGAAAGGCCCUGCUUUUGUGGGGUGCUCGAGUGGCGAACGGGUGAGUAACACGUGAGUAACCUGCCCUUGACUUUGGGAUAACUUCAGGAAACUGGGGCUAAUACCGGAUAGGAGCUCCUGCUGCAUGGUGGGGGUUGGAAAGUUUCGGCGGUUGGGGAUGGACUCGCGGCUUAUCAGCUUGUUGGUGGGGUAGUGGCUUACCAAGGCUUUGGCGGGUAGCCGGCCUGAGAGGGUGACCGGCCACAUUGGGACUGAGAUACGGCCCAGACUCCUACGGGAGGCAGCAGUGGGGAAUAUUGCACAAUGGGCGGAAGCCUGAUGCAGCAACGCCGCGUGCGGGAUGACGGCCUUCGGGUUGUAAACCGCUUUCGCCUGUGACGAAGCGUGAGUGACGGUAAUGGGUAAAGAAGCACCGGCUAACUACGUG